rnacentral:misc_RNA from 1 species
AGAAGCUGUUGGGAGUCUUUAUAAAGACCAUUAACAGAAGCUGCUGGUGAAGCUGGUGGAAGAAAAAAGAUAAGAAGAAGAACAAAGAAAAGCUUGUUUAAGCUCAAAGGAUGUUGGUUAAACACAGUUUUGUGAGCUUUCAUCUUCAAAGAUUGAAACUUUAUAGCUUAAAUGGUGAUUUUCUUGAAUCUAUAGCUUGAGUUCUUGAUGGGGUUCCAUAUUUUUCUCAAAAAAAUAAGAUAAGUUUUUAACAGACAAAUAGGGAAAGGGAGAAG